UACGGGGGGGGCAAGCGUUGUUCGGAAUUACUGGGCGUAAAGGGCUCGUAGGCGGCCAACUAAGUCAGACGUGAAAUCCCUCGGCUUAACCGGGGAACUGCGUCUGAUACUGGAUGGCUUGAGUUUGGGAGAGGGAUGCGGAAUUCCAGGUGUAGCGGUGAAAUGCGUAGAUAUCUGGAGGAACACCGGUGGCGAAGGCGGCAUCCUGGACCAACACUGACGCUGAGGAGCGAAAGCCAGGGGAGCAAACUGG
rnacentral:rRNA from 1 species